rnacentral:misc_RNA from 1 species
GACCAGGGUGCCGUUUCACGAAAGCCUCUUAGCGCUACGACCUCCUAAACCACGUCGUAAAGCACCUCUUAAAUAUUUGUGCCGUUUCACAAAGACCUCCUAAUUUUACACCCCACCGUAAACAACCUCCUAACCUACGAUAGGUAUGGGGCACUUGUAACUAGCUUACGACAUCCUAAGUCAGCGUCUAAUAUGGCGACACUAUUGAGAAUUAAAGAAAUUUUGAACAGGAGAAACAUUAGGCGAGAGCGAAUAUUCAGGGAUAGGACUGAAGUGUUGGAUACUUUGACCGACACGGAACUGAUUGCCAGGUAUCGCUUUCCUCGACACACCAUCCUACAGCUGGUUGAUCGGGUCAGCGCGGAUAUCUCUCGGCCGACCCAACGUUCGUGUGCCUUACCUGUCCAUGUGCAGGUGUUAGUAACGCUUAGAUACUUUUCAAAAGGGGGAUUCCUGAGCGAAUUAGGAGAUAUACAUGGUAUUGCCAAAUCAAGUGUUUGUCGCGUGUUGGAAAAGACGACAGAUGCAAUCGUAAAGUCGUAUGACUUGAUCCGGUUUCCAACGCCCGACAAACACGCUAAACUAGCGGAGGAUUUCUUCCACAUCUGUGGUUUUCCGAAAGUUGUUGGCUGCAUAGAUUGUACUUUGAUACCCAUUCAACGACCAGCAUUAGAUGAAGCAGUAUAUGUGUGCAGAAAAGGAUUCCACGCCAUCAAUGUGCAAGCUGUGUGCGACGCCCAACUCCGAUUCACAAACAUUAUUGUCCAAUGGCCAGGAUCAACCCAUGAUUCACAUAUUUUCAACAACUGCAAUUUGAAAAGGCAUCUGGAGGAAGGGAAAUAUGACAUCUGGCUUCUUGGUGAUUCAGGGUAUGCCUGUAGACCCUACCUCCUGACACCUGUCAACAACCCUGCAAAUGAAAAAGAGGAGAAAUACAACCGCUGUCAUAUUGGAACAAGGAACUCAGUUGAGAGGGCAUUUGGAUUGUGCAAAUCUAGAUUCAGGUGUCUACACAAAACGACAGGAUGCCUGUUAUUCAGCCCACAGAAGAGCAUCAAAAUUAUUACUGCCUGCUUUCAACUUCAUAAUUUGGCAAUAUUACUGAGGUUGCCUGAGCCUGAUGUUCUUUGUGAGAAUCCUGGACCAGAGGUGGACAGCAGUCCUGCUGAUAACCACAACAUGGAUGGAUGUAGAGUCAGGGGAAAUCUUAUCAACUCUAGGUUUUAAAUGAGGGCCAGGCUCUGUCUUUGGAUGUCACGGAUGUCCCGCUGCACAGACAGAAUUUCCUCAAGGAGAGACAUCUUUCUCUCCUCCUGGGCUUUUGCAGUUAGGUCAUCUGGGGGUGGUCCACCACCAGUCCUCCUAGCAUUCAGCCUCCUGGCUGACUCUGCCUUCUUCACACAUCCCUUCAUGUCCGUCCAUUUCUUACGUACUUCAUCCUCAUUCCGGGUUAUGUCACCAGUGGCAUUUAGUCUGAUAUUCAAAAUUAUUAUUAUUUUAUAUUAUUAUGAUUAGUAAUGGUCUCAUUUGUGAAAAUUAUUUGAAAUUGGUAUCUUUAUUUAAAAAUAUGACUGUACUGUGUAAAAUUCGUGUAAGAUGUUACUUUAUUUGUUCAUCAUGAAAAAACUGACAAGAUUGAUGAUGUGGUUUUGAGGAACAAUCACUCACCCACUCUCCUGUUCUUUCAUAUUUGAUCAUUAUGCAAUAAUCAUUAACAGUGAGAGGUUAAUAAAAUUUUGAAGUGAA